rnacentral:rRNA from 1 species
UACGUAGGUGACUAGCGUUGUCCGGAUUUACUGGGCGUAAAGAGCGCGCAGGCGGUCGUUCAAGUCGAGUGUGAAAGCCCCCGGCUCAACUGGGGAGGGUCAUUCGAUACUGAUCGACUCGAAGGCAGGAGAGGGAAGCGGAAUUCCCGGUGUAGUGGUGAAAUGCGUAGAUAUCGGGAGGAACACCAGUGGCGAAGGCGGCUUCCUGGCCUGUUCUUGACGCUGAGGAGCGAAAGCAUGGGGAGCGAACAGG